GAAGAAUAAUCGAAAAACGUUGAAUUUGCCUCGUAAAAAUGAAAUAUUCGUGUGGCAAGGUAAAGGAAUAAUUUAUAAAAAAUUGGAUUGCAUGCUAUAAAUGUUUAACUGUUUCUCUGUAGCAUAAGUGUAAUUAAAUAGGUAAAUUUUGUAGAUAUUUCAUUAAUGCUACUAAAAAUAUUUGGUACCAAUCAAAAAGGAUUUUUUUUUAGAAUAAUAAAUUGCAGAUGAUCUACAAAUCUAGUUGGAGUAACCUUUAAUUAAAAAAAUUGGAACUAGAUUCUUACAGCCUAUGGAAAAAAGAAUGCAAACAUUUUUCAUACGGAAUAAAUCAAAUGGAAGGAAUCUUAAACUCACCCUAGCCUCGAGUUUGCUGAUGAUACGCUUGCCACCGACGAUAGCGUUCG